ACCUGGUUGAUCCUGCCAGUAGUCAUAUGCUUGUCUCAAAGAUUAAGCCAUGCAUGUUUAAGUUCACGUCACGAUUAAGAACGGGCGAAACCGCGAAUGGCUCAGGAACCGGACCUAAUCCUCGAGAUCGUAUUCCUCCACGGAGGAAAGUGGAUAACUGUGGUAAUUCUAGAGCUAAUACAUGCAACUAAAGUCUCGAUCUUCGUUCGGUAGCUGUAUUGAGUGGUUGAUUUCUAUUGCUUACGCUGGUCGCGGCAGUGUUCGAGUUCUCGAUUAAUACGGACUUCUUUCGUUGCCGUUAGUAGUUUGGUCUUCGUUACCGACGCCGUCCGCGCUUGCGCACACGUAUCGUUAUCGCGCUGCUUUUUACUCUCCUCCGUACGACGCCUUUGAUCGCGGCGCAACAUAUUAGACUGAGACCGAUGCGUUUUGUUGGUCGUCGAUCGAAUUGAUUCACUUACGCACGCAAUUCCGCACGCCCCUUUAUGCGAACAGACCCGAUAGAUGAUGCGCGCUCGCCCUGGCCUACAUACGAAAUACUACUUCGAAUAGCAACGACAACACGACUAAACGUAUUUGUAGAGAGGCUGAAACACAGUGUUGUUACUUUCUCGUUGCUGCCCGUACUACGUGUUUGUUUGUUCUGUUCGUCGUGUUCGUUUUUGUUAUGGUCGUUGCGUGUGGUUGCAUGUCGUCUUCAUCGUUGUCUUUGUAGCCGCUUUUUUGUCGUUGUCGUUUUUACAUGCGCUACGUCGUUCUCUUUUCGGCGGCGUAUCCGACGCGCCCGCUUUUGGUGACUCUGGAUAACACAAUUGUCGAUCGCUAUUGGUCACUGUUUUUUGUACCUAGCGACGGGUCCCUCGAGGGUCCGCCCUAUCAACUGUCGACGGUCGAAUAAUUGCCUACCGUGGUUACAACGGGUAACGGGGAAUCGGGGUUCGAUUCCGGAGAGGGAGCAUGCGAAACGGCUACCACAUCCAAGGAAGGCAGCAGGCGCGCAAAUUACCCACUCCCGGCACGGGGAGGUAGUGACGAAAAAUAACGACGCGGGACUCUGUCGAGGCCCCGCGAUCGGAAUGGGUACACUUUAAAUCGGUUAACGAGUAUCAACCGGAGGGCAAGUCUGGUGCCAGCAGCCGCGGUAAUUCCAGCUCCGGUAGCGUAUAUUAAAUUUGUUGCGGUUAAAAAGCUCGUAGUCGGAAUUCGGGUCUAAAAAAAAACGUAGUAAAAUACGUUUCGGGGCGUCGGCACCGUCGUUCGAGUCCGAAUUUCGGUUGUUUUUAUCCGUUCGCACACCCGGCCCUAUCCGCCGGUACGAACGAGGGAAGGCCAUUCGUGAUUUGUCUGAUUAGUUUUUAUGUUUGGUGUUGAUUGUUUUUUUUUUUGUAUUUGUGGUGUCCGUUCGUUCGUUCGUUCGUUCGUUUCGUUUGUUUUGUUCGUUCGUUGUUCUUUUUUUGUUCGUUGUUCGUUGGUUGUUCGUUUUGUUGUUUUUUCGUUUCACGUUAAACGUAAUUUAAACUUCAUUAUCGACGACAACUUCUUCGACAACAUCGACUACGACGCCAAUUAUAACGACAACUUCGACGACGACGUCGUCGUCACAUGCUAAUAAUAAUAAUUAUUUUCUACCUUCAUUUCACAUAACUUAUCAGAUGGAAAGGCGUUUGGUAAACGAAUUCGCGUCGUGCACCUCUUUCGAUUCCUCCGAGGGUGCUCUUUAUCGAGUGUCUAAGGCGGCCGGUAUGUUCACUUUGAAAAAAUUAGAGUGCUCAGAGCGAGCUAUGUUAGGCUUGCAUACGAUAAGCAUGGAAUGAUAGAAAAGGGCCUCGUCUACGUCUAUCGGUCUCCGUUUACGACGAGGCAAUGAUCGAAGGGAGCGGUCGGGGCCACUCGUAUUGCGACGUUAGAGGUGAAAUUCUUGGAUCGUCGCAAGACGCACUGCAGCGAUGGCGUGUGGCAAGCAUGUCUUCCUCGAUCAAGAGCGAAAGUCGGAGGUUCGAAGACGAUCAGAUACCGUCGUAGUUCCGACCGUAAACGAUGCCGACUGGCGAUCCGCCGGCGUUCGCUUCGAUGACCCGGCGGGUAGCCUGCGGGAAACCAGAGUUUGUUCCGGGGGGAGUAUGGUUGCAAAAUCGAAACUUAAAGGAAUUGACGGAAGGGCACCACCAGGAGUGGAGCCUGCGGCUUAAUUUGACUCAACACGGGAAAACUCACCCGGUCCGGACACCGGUAGGAUUGACAGAUCGAUAGCUCUUUCUCGAUUCGGUGGGUGGUGGUGCAUGGCCGUUCUUAGUUGGUGGAGCGAUCCGUCUGGUUGAUUCCGAUAACGAACGAGACUCCGGCCUGCUAACUAGCGCGCUGAUUAGUGCUAGAUAUAUACAAUAUUAUUCUAUAUAUAUAUAUAUUUCGCGAUGACUAUGACGACGAGGCCACAUUGACGGCAACGGCAACGACUAAUGGGCGGCAUCGACGACGACGACAGCAUCAUCGUUUGUCGUUUUUUCGUUGUUUGUCGUUUGUUUGUUGUUUGUUGUUUGGUUGUUCUUUGUGUCAGUCGUUUUGUUGUUGCGUGAUUUUAUGUGUGUGUGUAUGUUUAAAGGCGUAUAUACGCGGCCAGUCGGUUGCUUCCUGCGCUUCUUAGAGGGACGGGUGGCAGAAAGCCACACGAGGCGGAGCGAUAACAGGUCUGUGAUGCCCUUAGAUGUCCGGGGCUGCACGCGCGCUACACUGGAGUUAUCAGCGGGCACUUUCACCCUUCCCGAAAGGGUUGGGAAACCUCUCAACCAACUCCCGUGAUAGGGAUCGGGGACUGUAAUUGACCCCGUGAACGAGGAAUUCCCGGUAGGCGCGGGUCAACAGCCCGCGUCGAUCACGUCCCUGCCCUUUGUACACACCGCCCGUCGCUACUACCGAUCGAACGGUCCGGUGAGGUCCUCGGAUCUGGCCGACGAUGCCGACACUGUCUAUAUUCGAAGCUUUAUUUUACUACGUUCCGCUACACCUCAUCCUCAUGCUCGUUUCAACAUACACGACACGGUAAUAAAUACAAAUCUUGGUUGAUUUUUUGUGGUUGUUGUCGAACAGCGUCACGCUUUGCGACGAUAACGACGGCGACGACGACGACGACGACAUAUUAACCACUAACUGCAGCAUUCUUCAUCGUUGUUGUAGUUCGGUUUGUGGUUGUUGUUGUUGUUGUUCGUUUUUGUUGUUCGUUUUUGUUGUUGUCGUUCUGUUUCGUCAUUAAUAUUGGACGAUUUCUUUUUUGUUUUGGUCGUCAUCGUUCGUGUUGUCGUCUCUUUGUGUGGUUUGUUAUAGCUUACGUAAUUUUUUGCCCCUUUCGCAUAAAGACGUCGUCAUCUGAUGGCCCGGAGAAGACGACCGAACCCGAUCGUUUAGAGGAAGUAAAAGUCGUAACAAGGUUUCCGUAGGUGAACCUGCGGAAGGAUCAUUA
rnacentral:rRNA from 1 species